AAUCAGUCGGUACUCGUCGAAUUGCAUUCUUAAGAAUUCGCCCGCGCUGCCCGCGCCCGGUCCCCGGCCGCCCCGCCCGCCUACGGGAGGCAGCAGUGGGGAAUUGUUCACAAUUGGGCUGCAAGCCUGCAUGACGCAACUGCCGCGUGGAGGGAUGAAGUGCCUUCGNGGUCGUAAACCCCAUGAUCUAGAAUGGGACGCACAAAGCCUGCAGCAUUUAACAAAAACUGCAGGACUUGACUGUGUUACCGUUAAAGUGAAGCCACAAGCCUAACUCUGUGCCAAGACANAAGUNCUCGCCUCGAGGUUAAACAUUAAACCAACGAAANGUGGUNANGUGCCCACAUAGUCNCGGCUCUGUGGUAAUCCCAGGUAGGCACAUUUUUAACCUUUUGGNGUG
rnacentral:rRNA from 1 species